ensembl:lncRNA
GUAGGAUGGGGUGCUGCUCAUGGUUUCAGACACCCACUGGGAGGUGUUAGAACCUAUCCCUCUGGAUAAAGGAGGGACUAAGUAUUUACAAAAUUGCUAAUUCAUUGGCCUGUGUCUCAGCUACAUUGUAUUUGAGAAAUUAGCUGGAGAAAUGAAAAGAAAUAAUUCAUCGUGAUGCUGAUGGGACCUUCAUUUUGCUUCAGUUUUAGCUCAUGCUUUAUUUCAGAGUUACUUCAUUCAAGCAGUUGAGAGAUAUAAAUAAACUUUUACCUUCUAACUCCCAAACUCGGAGUACCAGCACUGGGAACGGAUUCAAUAGACUUUCACAAUUUGUUGAGAUCUUAAAAACAGCUUGCUUAAGUUUGCCCAGGCUUUGAGGACAGAAAUGAGGAUAAAACAAUGAUAUUUGUUCAGUCUUUUCAUAUAUCCUCUGUUGAAACCACAUGGGGACCCAAGGGAUUUCUUGGCAGAAGCAGUAUUACAAAUGGUCGAUUUACUGGCAUGGAGGGCAGCAAUAUGAAACAGUUGAGGUCUGCACACUUUCUCCAGCAUGAAGUCCACACAGAGAUCUGAUUAGGUCUGUUUAUGUGAAAUGAUUUACUAAGUGACUCAUUACUUGGAGUUUCUAAAACUGGGGUUUGGCUAUGAGAAUGUGGGUAUUUGGGGUAGAAGGAUGAAAUAUCAACCAUUUGGAAGAUAAACGGAGUACUUUGGUAGGCAGUAUAAACUAUAACAAGUACUCUGAAUUUUGUCUUUUAGCUAUGCCAUAUGUGCAAGCCUUGCAAUUAACAAGUGUCCUCAGAUGUACCAUGAUUGGUUCAAAUUGGACCUGUGUUCUCUGUGCAGCCCCUUGGAGCUGAAGGACGUGAAAUAUCCCUGUAUCUUUACAAUCAGUGAUCCUCACAUCUGGACUUCUUGGACAACUGCCGGAGAACACUCACCACUCAUAAGAAACAGGAGGCCACCACCACCACAAAAGCAUCUAACCCUGUUCAGAGUGAACCAAUACACUGGGAUCAGGGGUCAUGGAUUAAAGAGAAUCAGAUGGAGGAUCUCAUGGAAAUAUGAACAAUCCCUGCCAUUCCUAUCUACAUCUUCCUUGGGCUGUGUGGAUGCCUGUGCUCCUAAACUAACAAAUGAGACUCUGCCUACACAAUCAAAACAACCAGGGGAAAUGGGAAAUACAUUCAGUCAGCUUUUCGGCCUGUACGGUGUCUUGUGACAGUCUGACUAGUUGUUUUCACUAUGAUGACUCUUUUCUAAUAUUUUCCCUUGAAUAUAAUCCUAUUUUGUUAACUACAGAAAGUUAUCACUGAAUUGAAAAAAAUACUAAUUAUUGUGAAAAACAUACAAAAUUUAUUAUAUGAGGAAAUAUUUUUAAGAUCCAGAAUUCCUAUACUGCUAGUAUUAUUAUAUUUUACAGUUCUUUCACAAGCUGUUUUAUCUAUCAGUAUGUAUACCUGUGUGUGUGUGUGUACUUUUUUGACAUACAUUCUUUGCAACAUUGUUUUCUUACCUAAAAAUAAAUCACGAUAGUUUUCAUAGGUUAUUGAAUAU